UAAGGGCGCACGGUGGAUGCCUUGGCACUAGAAGCCGAUGAAGGACGUUACUAACGACGAUAUGCUUUGGGGAGCUGUAAGUAAGCUUUGAUCCAGAGAUUUCCGAAUGGGGAAACCCAGCAUGAGUUAUGUCAUGUUAUCGAUAUGUGAAUACAUAGCAUAUCAGAAGGCACACCCGGAGAACUGAAACAUCUUAGUACCCGGAGGAAGAGAAAGAAAAUUCGAUUCCCUUAGUAGCGGCGAGCGAAACGGGAAGAGCCCAAACCAACAAGCUUGCUUGUUGGGGUUGUAGGACACUCUAUACGGAGUUACAAAGGACGACAUUAGACGAAUCAUCUGGAAAGAUGAAUCAAAGAAGGUAAUAAUCCUGUAGUCGAAAAUGUUGUCUCUCUUGAGUGGAUCCUGAGUACGACGGAGCACGUGAAAUUCCGUCGGAAUCUGGGAGGACCAUCUCCUAAGGCUAAAUACUCUCUAGUGACCGAUAGUGAACCAGUACCGUGAGGGAAAGGUGAAAAGCACCCCGGAAGGGGAGUGAAAUAGAACCUGAAACCGUGUGCUUACAAGUAGUCAGAGCCCGUUAAUGGGUGAUGGCGUGCCUUUUGUAGAAUGAACCGGCGAGUUACGAUUUGAUGCAAGGUUAAGCAGUAAAUGUGGAGCCGUAGCGAAAGCGAGUCUGAAUAGGGCGUUUAGUAUUUGGUCGUAGACCCGAAACCAGGUGAUCUACCCUUGGUCAGGUUGAAGUUCAGGUAACACUGAAUGGAGGACCGAACCGACUUACGUUGAAAAGUGAGCGGAUGAACUGAGGGUAGCGGAGAAAUUCCAAUCGAACCUGGAGAUAGCUGGUUCUCUCCGAAAUAGCUUUAGGGCUAGCCUCAAGUGAUGAUUAUUGGAGGUAGAGCACUGUUUGGACGAGGGGCCCCUCUCGGGUUACCGAAUUCAGACAAACUCCGAAUGCCAAUUAAUUUAACUUGGGAGUCAGAACAUGGGUGAUAAGGUCCGUGUUCGAAAGGGAAACAGCCCAGACCACCAGCUAAGGUCCCAAAAUAUAUGUUAAGUGGAAAAGGAUGUGGCGUUGCCCAGACAACUAGGAUGUUGGCUUAGAAGCAGCCAUCAUUUAAAGAGUGCGUAAUAGCUCACUAGUCGAGUGACACUGCGCCGA
rnacentral:rRNA from 1 species